GGGUUCACCCAUUGGUCAGGCUUAAUUGUCUGUACUGGUGAGAUGAAUCUCUACCUUCUGAGGAACUUUCAUGCCAUUUACUUGGUGUGAUGGGAAAUCAGGACUGUUACUUUGAAAAAAUUAGAGUGUUUAAAGCAGGCUAACGUCUGAAUACAUUAGCAUGGAAUAAUAGAAUAGGACGGUUUGGUUCUAUUUUGUUGGUUUCUAGGAUCACCGUA
rnacentral:rRNA from 1 species